UUGAAUGUUUUGGAGAAGUCAAAGGAAUAUGGAGAACAAUUAUAGACCUUUAAGGGAAGAAAAUUCCUUGGCAGGAGGGUUUCUUUCUAGGAGGCAGUGUGUACAGUGGUUUGGAAUAUGGAUUCUGCAGCUGUACUGCCAGGGUUCAAUUCUCAGCUCUGUUUCUUGCUAUCUGUAUAAUUAAGCAAGUUACAUUUAAUUUCCCUUUGCCUGUUUUCUCAUCUGUAAAAUGAGAAUAAUGGAAUUUACUUUAUAUGGCUGUUUUGAAAUUUAAUGAUUUUUGGUUUCUAAAUGUAAAGUCCUUAACAGUACUUGGCAUAGUGAGUGCUCAAUAAAUGUUAGUGGUUUAUUAUUAUUAUUACCAUUAUCAAAGGAGUAUUAUGAUUCCUUUGCUUAAGCAAUUGAUUUUUUUUAAGAAAGGAAGCUGUUGAAGUUAUUGAAGUACCUGUUGCUAUAUUCUAAGAAAGUAAAAUGUCCAGAAAUCUGCCUCUGACUUGACCCAAUGAAAGAAGCAUAUGGCACUUGUGAAGAUAAAUGUUACUCCUCCCUUUUUAAUUGGAACUUCCGCUUAGGACCUGUGU
rnacentral:sRNA from 1 species